CACCUCCCCAACCCUCCUGGCCUCCCCCCACCCCCUCCAGCCCUGGCAGCCACUAAUCUGCUUUCUCUCUCGGUGGAUUUUCCUAUUCUGGACAUUUCACAUAAAUGGGAUCAUCCAGUACGUGGCCUUCUGUGUCUGGCUCCUUUCACUGAGCAGAACAUCCAUGGUGUUGCAGGUCCCGGUGCUUCAUCCCUUUGAAUGGCGGACAGUAUUCCACUGCACAGACGGAGCAUGUCGUGUUUUCCCUUUUGUCUGUUGACAGACAUGUGGGUUGUUUCUAACUCUUGGAAAGAGGACUGCAGCCCCAAUUUCUCGAGUCCUGCUUUCUCUCGGAUGGGCCAUAAGUGCCUUCUUCCCUGUCUCCCUAGGCAGGAGCUGCAGCAAGCACCCGAGUUCCCACAAAGCACCCCGAAUCUUUUAUCUCUUGGAAAUUACGGGCAGCACUGACCGGCUUCGUCUAUGUUCUGAGAACACGUUGGGCCUCGAGAGCAGGGAGGCUGGGCCCAGUUCCUGCUACCGAGAGCCUGUGUGUCAAAUCCUGGGUAAGGGUUUCAGCAGAUCCACUCUUCCUAGGGGGUCAAACUGUGAACCUUGUCUCGCCGGCCCUGAGGACCCUGGAGGGAGUCCAUCCAGCCCACCGCACGGCUAACCACCAGCCUGGGGCUGCAGGGGGUUCAGGGGGAGGACAGGGGCCACUGCAGGCCUCCACGGCGCCGUGACUCUUAACUUGUGCCACGAAGGUGAGGCUCUCACUGCAUCGCGCCAUGGCAUCUGGCCAUUCAGCAAUGCCAACAUCUAUAAACUCAAGAACCAGUUUUCAUAACCCCUGAUUCAAACAUCAUGAUUUACGUUGCUGGGCGUCAUGCCCACACCCAAACACUGUCAUUAUAAAAUUCUUGGAUACAAAUCUUUCCCUGCAGAGUUAUGUGAAAUUCUCACUCGUGAUUUCUUGGACCAAAUCCCGCCGAAAUCCAUGUAUUCCUUCUUCUGUUCUCUCGCUGGGAGAUGGGUGGGCAUCUCACCUAAAACUGUGCCAUGCUCGGCCCACCAGGAAUGAAACACGGGCAGGCGAAAGGGAAGAAGCAACUCACUAUGUGCAAAUGACACACACG
rnacentral:lncRNA from 1 species